GCCUCAGUGGUCUAGUAGUAUGAUUCGCCCUUCGGGAGUUUCCCGUAAGCUGGAAUUUCACCAGUUUGCUUACUGGGUGAGGUCCUGGGUUCAAUUCCCAGCUGGGGCC